rnacentral:rRNA from 1 species
AACGAACGCUGGCGGCAGGCUUAACACAUGCAAGUCGAGCGCCCCGCAAGGGGAGCGGCAGACGGGUGAGUAACGCGUGGGAAUCUACCUAUCACUACGGAACAACUCCGGGAAACUGGAGCUAAUACCGUAUACGCCCGAGAGGGGAAAGAGUUAGCGGUGAUAGAUGGGGCCGCGUUGGAUUAGCUAGUUGGUGGGGUAAUGGCCUACCAAGGCGACGAUCCAUAGCUGGUCUGAGAGGAGGAUCAGCCACACUGGGACUGAGACAGGGGCCAGACUCCUACGGGAGGCAGCAGUGGGGAAUAUUGGACAAUGGGCGAAAGCCUGAUCCAGCCAUGCCGCGUGAGUGAUGAAGGCCUUAGGGUUGUAAAGCUCUUUCAACGGUGAAGAUAAUGACGGUAACCGUAGAAGAAGCCCCGGCUAACUUCGUGCCAGCCGCCGCGGUAAUAC